rnacentral:rRNA from 1 species
UACGUAGGGGGCAAGCGUUGUCCGGAUUUAUUGGGCGUAAAGAGCUCGUAGGCGGUUCCGUAAGUCGAGUGUGAAAAAUCUGGGCUCAACCCAGGAAGUGCACUCGAAACUGCAAGGCUUGAGUCCCGGAGAGGAAAGCGGAAUUCUCGGUGUAGAGGUGAAAUUCGUAGAUAUUCGCAAGAACACCAGUGGCGAAGGCGGCUGACUGGUCCGGUUCUGACGCUGAGGCGCGAAAGCGUGGGGAGCAAACAGG